GGGUGUUUAGCUCAGCGGGAGAGCGUCUGCCUUACAAGCAGAAGGUCGCAGGUUCAAAUCCUGCAGCGCCCACCA
rnacentral:tRNA from 7 species